rnacentral:rRNA from 1 species
ACACUCCUACGGGAGGCAGCAGUGGGGAAUUUUGGACAAUGGGCGAAAGCCUGAUCCAGCAAUGCCGCGUGAGUGAAGAAGGCCUUCGGGUUGUAAAGCUCUUUUGUCAGGGAAGAAACGGUGAGAGCUAAUAUCUCUUGCUAAUGACGGUACCUGAAGAAUAAGCACCGGCUAACUACGUGCCAGCAGCCGCGGUAAUACGUAGGGUGCAAGCGUUAAUCGGAAUUACUGGGCGUAAAGCGUGCGCAGGCGGUUUUGUAAGUCUGAUGUGAAAUCCCCGGGCUCAACCUGGGAAUUGCAUUGGAGACUGCAAGGCUAGAAUCUGGCAGAGGGGGGUAGAAUUCCACGUGUAGCAGUGAAAUGCGUAGAUAUGUGGAGGAACACCGAUGGCGAAGGCAGCCCCCUGGGUCAAGAUUGACGCUCAUGCACGAAAGCGUGGGGAGCAAACAGGAUUAGAAACCCCUGUAGUCCCAU